AAGCUUUGGUCAACUUGAAGCUUGAGAAGGCUUGGGAUGUCCGACGAAAAGCCCCCCC
rnacentral:tRNA from 1 species